CACAUACCCUGUGCACCAAAUUGCUCAGUCCCUCCAAUUUCCUUAUCCAUCCUUCAAUCCCCACGGCCACAGAUCCAUUCCGUCGCAAUCGCUGCACACCGCGUCCACAGAUCAAGAAGCGUAGUGCAUAGGAGAAGGAGAAUCAAAUUGCUUCCUAUCCCUCCCCUUACUGUCUUCUUGGCUGUGAAUCUGGAAGCCCAAUUUUUGGACGAUGCAGGUUAGUCCCAAAUCAAC